UACGGAGGGCGCAAGCGUUGUUCGGAAUCACUGGGCGUAAAGCGCGCGCAGGCGGAUGGUCAAGUCGGAAGUGAAAUCCCGGGGCUCAACUCCGGGGCUGCUCCCGAUACUGUUCAUCUGGAGACCGGUAGAGGUGGGUAGAAUUCCCGGUGUAGCGGUGGAAUGCGUAGAUAUCGGGAAGAAUACCUGUGGCGAAGGCGGCCCACUGGGCCGGUUCUGACGCUGAGGCGCGAAAGCGUGGGGAGCAAACAGG
rnacentral:rRNA from 1 species